CCUACGGGAGGCAGCAGUGGGGAAUAUUGGGCAAUGGGCGCAAGCCUGACCCAGCAACGCCGCGUGAAGGAAGAAGGCUUUCGGGUUGUAAACUUCUUUUAAGAGGGAAGAGCAGAAGACGGUACCUCUUGACUAAGCCACGGCUAACUACGUGCCAGCAGCCGCGGUAAUACGUAGGUGGCAAGCGUUGUCCGGAUUUACUGGGUGUAAAGGGCGUGUAGCCGGGCUGACAAGUCAGAUGUGAAAUCCGGGGGCUCAACCCCCGAACUGCAUGUGGAACUGUUGGUCUUGAGUAUCGGACAGGCAGGCGGAAUUCCUAGUGUAGCUGUGAAAUGCGUAGAUAUUAGGAGGAACACCAGUGGCGAAGGCGGACUGCUGGACGACAACUGACGGUGAGGCGCGAAAGCGUGGGGAGCAAACAGGAUUAGAUACCCUAGUAGUC
rnacentral:rRNA from 1 species